GAAGAAAGAUAGGGAGAGUUUUUGCUCUGCCGCCGAGGUAGGAGUGGGAGUUUUGGGGUGCUUCUGUCCAUCAAAGGCAGCCUUACAGCAAGUCAAGGGAGCACAAGUAGUGCAGCUGCUGUGGAGAAGGGUCAGCAGCCGAGUGGCUGAGGCAGCUCCCAGCCUGACACGUCUUGCUGAUGCAUCUUGCCCACGCGGUGAGCCUGGCGUGGGACGUCCCUGUCGGACAGGAUGAAGCGGAUAAGGAUUGCUGCCUGGGAUGCCUGUUCCUGCCUGGAAUGCCAAGCCGUGUCUGGAGAGAGGCUGGAUCCCUAGGGACCCAAUUAUUGGAAGAAAAGUGUUGGGAGCACCUUCAGCUUUAAAGUAUGACAGCUUGACUUCUGCCAAAUAAAAUAACAGAGAAGGAGGUGGUAGGGGAGCCAGUGAGCACAGUACUGGAGCUUUCCAAGGAGCGCACACACAGCACAUUUAGUUAGUUGAAAUGGGGCAGCACAACAGCAGCCUUCACGACAUCAGACUGGCAGGACAGUAUCUGCUGCUUUGGUCCACCUUCCCCUGUCUUACCCCACCCCUGGAAUCAGGCAGGCUGUCCCAAGCAUCCCCCCACCUCUGAACACAACUUGCCCUAAAACUGCUGGAGACAAGGAGCAUCUCAAGGACCUCAAGGUAUGGAUGGAGCAGACCACAGUCCCUGCAUAGCAUUAGCUGCAACAGAGGCCAGGAGCAGGAGUCCCUGGGAAGAUGCAGUGAUCAGGAGUUGGGGAUGAGCCUUCUCAUUUCUGUUUUGUUUGCCUGGUUACUUUGUAUUUUCCCUAUUAAAAAAUAUUAACUUAAUUCCAGAAGCAUGAA